CUCAUUUGUUUGUUUCGUUUCAUUUCCGCCCGCGGUGGAGGUGGGUGCGGUGUGUAUCUAGAGAGAGAGAGAGGCAGAGAACGAAACGGAGAUCAGCAGCGGGUCAGCGACGGCGUGACGAGGCCGAGGUCGAGCUGCGUCCUGCCUCGUAGGCCCCGUGGACGGAAGAGGUGGGGAGCACGGCGGUAGGGGACGGUCGACGAUUCUAGACUGAGUGCCGCGGCCGUUCCAACACCGCAGUGCCUCUACGUCUCCGUCCCCGCGGUGUACCUCGCCAGGCCGAGGUUCGCCCGCGAUCUGGGACCGCCGUCACCCCCGCCGCCGCCGCCGCCGCUGCUGCUGCUUGCACUAGGAUUUGCCGGCGCGCAGGGCCGGGAGCGGUCACAGUAACAUCUUCGAGAGUUCAACCUGUCAAACGUCUUCGAAACAAGUAGGGAACUCGGCUAAGAGGCUGCUCAACAGUCGCUUCUUCAUCUCGCACGAAAUCGGUUUAACCCCGGACGUCGUCGUGGACGAUCUUAACUUCCCUCCUGGAGAGGGUUUUCUUAACUUCCGGGAUUACCGUCAUUAGAGGUCGAAGUUAAAGCCUCAUCUAAUCGUGAGGGUGAGAAAUGACCUCCUUUUCACCUUCCGCUCGUCCCUCGUAGUUAUGUACAACACGACAACCUACGUUUGUGACCUGUACAGCAAUGAAGUCCUGGGCUCAGUGAACGUUUUAACCUACAAGAACACGAGCUCCCACUAAAAUUAUUUCUCUUCCUACUCCUAACCUGACUUCUCCUUAAACUCUCGGUGUAACACUUUCUUGCACUUCCCUUCUCCGGAGAAAAUUUGCCACUAUAGGUACACUGUGAAUUUCUUCCGCAUCCCUGGUAUCCUCUCGAAUAGAAGUGGCUGUUAAGGUCGACCUAUUCCUCGUCUUUUAAGUCUGAACCCUACUCCCAGAGCAGUCCUAAAACACUUCCUUAAGCAUAGUUUCUCCGCUUCUGUCUCCGAAAAUGACACUUUCUAGUGUCUCCUCUUAAUAUGUUCUUUGUAAUGGGAGGACGUGAAUUCCUACUACAAACCUCUAACCUUUUCUAACCUUUCCUGCCACGUAAGGUGCCCUUUGAUUUGAGUUUGCCUUAGAUAUGUCAACUUGUAAAAGAAGUUGAAGAACAAUUUCUAGUUGUCUUCAAUUCUUCAUAGGAACCGUGACCAUACAGUUUAUUCUACACCCUUUCAGAACAACUUGUACGCUUUUGAACGCAAGACUCACCGUUCGUAAUAUAUAUAAUGAGGUUCCUAUGUCGUUCACAACCACGUUAUAAGUUAUUGUAUAUACUCAAGUGACCAAACUAACGACUACUAGUCAAAUAAAGUUGCCUUUUAGAAUGACUUUUGGUCUCCCACAAACGCCUAUGUAACCACUUCGUUCGUAUACUACUAACCUAGUUGCAAUAUCUUAUACUACCGUUCCCUAACAACUUUAAAUUCGUCUUUUUCUUUAGACAGUGUUGUUCUUCACUACGACGUUUAUAGAGAUGUUCGAUGUGAAGAAUACUAAGUCGCGUGAGAGUCUUUGUUAACCGUGCUCCUGUACGGUUACGGUUAUAACUCGCUAGAGAGUACUCGUCAUGCUCAUUUCUUCUCUGUUCUUAACGUAGGUUGCCCUUGGUCCAUCGUUAUAUACGUCGGUUACGAGUCCUGUAGAGUGGUUCAUAAUGGUACGUUAUACCGUACUCAAGUAACUAGGGACUUCCGGUCAAGUUACCGAGAAGGUAGGUUUGAGUUCGUAGUUCUUCGAGGUUGUACGAUCGUAAACCUGGUGGUGGUGUCGUCGUCGUCUUGAAGCUUAAGAGUCGUGAACCAGACAGGUACGUUAGGGGUCGAGGAUUAGGAAAACUACUGACCGGGCCUGCCAACGUCCUCUUGGCGCCACCGCAACUACUGAAGGACUACCUCCUCUAAUCUCACUCUUCGGUACUGUAUGACCUCUUACUUCUUCUCUACGUUGUAUACGACGCGUAAGAAUCGACGCCCCGUCGUCGUUUGUACUUAUUACAUCUACCGAAAUGGAGGAUGGGAAGAGGACGUGGCCACCGGAAGUUGAAACUCCUACUAGCACGAGGGAGUAGGCCAUUCCGACAACAACCCACCGAAUUCUAAUUCCGACGAUACGCCACCCCGUAGAAGCAGUCCUUCUUUCGUCGGCUCUCUUCUCGAGUCGAACAACUCGACCUACUGAUCCCCUAUGCCGACACCCCCUUGAACUUCGGCAAGUAAACAACCUCUAACCUUUGACUUUUAAUAGUGGCUUUUGAAGAGCUGUAACAUGUAAUUUUGUACGUAACCUUCUUCGAAAACCACGCAGAUACACAAAAC
rnacentral:rRNA from 1 species